rnacentral:piRNA from 1 species
UUCUAAUAACUGAGAUUUCUUGC